CAAUAGGGUGAGGAAAAUCAAGAGUAUAUGGAAAUUGCAGAUAGAUGGUUUGAGGGCCUCGUCUGCCAAGACAUUCCAGUUACCAACGAAGUUUAUGCGAUUCAUAAUGUUGAAUUUGAUCGUCAGGAACUACGGAAACUUGUGAGGAUAGUCCAAGAGGUCCAAAAAAGCAUGGGAAAUAAAGAUAGCGGAGAGGGAUCUGAUAAAAAGCUUUCCAGGGCGAAGAAACCACUCAUCAUGUUCCUUCGCUCCCUUGCAAAGAAGACACUUGAAUAGGGCAGGAUGUGGAGGCGCGGAAAAGGAGGGACACAUGGAUAGUUUCAGGAAAAUUUAGUUUCAAAGUGCUAAUGCUUGACCGUUAUGGUAAAAUUCUUAGUGACAGCAUCAUAUAGGGAUGUGUUGUCAAUUAUGGAUUUUGAGCUAUAUUUUACAGGAAGUGGUGCUUUGUAGUGCCAGGUAACUAAUUUCCCAUGAACAUUUAAUUUUUGCUGA